GGGGGAUAUUGCGCAAUGGGGGAAACCCUGACGCAGCAACGCCGCGUGAAGGAUGAAGGUCUUCGGAUUGUAAACUUCUUUUAUUAAGGACGAAGAAAGUGACGGUACUUAAUGAAUAAGCUCCGGCUAACUACGUGCCAGCAGCCGCGGUAAUACGUAGGGAGCAAGCGUUGUCCGGAUUUACUAGGUGUAAAGGGUGCGUAGGCGGCUUUGCAAGUCAGAUGUGAAAUCUAUGGGCUCAACCCAUAGCCUGCAUUUGAAACUGCAGAGCUUGAGUGAAGUAGAGGCAGGCGGAAUUCCCCGUGUAGCGGUGGAAUGCGUAGAUAUCGGGAGGAACACCAGUGGCGAAGGCGGCCUACUGGGCACCAACUGACGCUGAGGCUCGAAAGUGUGGGUAGCAAACAGGAUUAGAUACCCUGGUAGUCCACACCGUAAACGAUGAUUACUAGGUGUUGGAGGAUUGACCCCUUCAGUGCCGCAGUUAACACAAUAAGUAAUCCACCUGGGGAGUACGACCGCAAGGUUGAAACUCAAAGGAAUUGACGGGGGCCCGCACAAGCAGUGGAGUAUGUGGUUUAAUUCGACGCAACGCGAAGAACCUUACCAGGUCUUGACAUCCUACUAACGAGAUAGAGAUAUGUUAGGUGCCCUUCGGGGAAAGUAGAGACAGGUGGUGCAUGGUUGUCGUCAGCUCGUGUCGUGAGAUGUUGGGUUAAGUCCCGCAACGAGCGCAACCCCUAUUGUUAGUUGCUACGCAAGAGCACUCUAGCGAGACUGCCGUUGACAAAACGGAGGAAGGUGGGGACGACGUCAAAUCAUCAUGCCCCUUAUGACCUGGGCUACACACGUAAUACAAUGGCGGUCAACAAAGGGAUGCAAAGCCGCGAGGCAGAGCGAACCCCAAAAAGCCGUCCCAGUUCGGAUCGCAGGCUGCAACCCGCCUGCGUGAAGUCGGAAUCGCUAGUAAUCGUGGGUCAGCAUACCACGGUGAAUACGUUCCCG
rnacentral:rRNA from 1 species